UUACACAUUUCAUGAUACUAUAUCUUUACACAUUUCAUGAUACUAUAUUAUUUUAACGUUACUUCAAGUUUGACAUAAAGAAAAUACUUUUAUCUUGCUAUACGCACACACACAUAUACAUACACAAACACACACAUACACACGUGCACAUACACAUACUCACACAAACACUAAGACAAGAAGGCACCGUGAUAUAGAAUUCAGAUUUCGGGUAGUAGCUGAGAACCGUUCACUUAUGGUACAUGGUUCAAAGCUAAGUCUGUGAUAUAUAUUUCUUUGUAUAAUUUCACAGCAGUCACAUGAGUGUAAUAUCUAAUAUCCGUCAUUUGUAUUGACUAAUAAGAUACAUAUAAAGUACACAUUUCUAAUUUAACCACAUUUACAUUCAGUCAGUAAUAUUCAACAAUAUCCGUCAUUUGCAAUGAAUAAUAAGAACAUAUAAAGUGCACAUUUCCAAUUUAACUACAUUUACAUUCAGUCAAUUAUUUCAACGUUCUAUUGUACCAGAUGCGCGUUUAAACACCGGGCAUCAUUUCAACACAAAAAUUAAGCACAGAGCCUAAGAGUAAAAAAGAGAAGAUAUUUUUUUAGAAGUGGCGGCGUCAGAUGUGGACUGGGGAUGGUGUGCAAGGUGAGAGAAUCAUUAAGACAGUUUAAGAUAUUUAGUUGCAGAAAAGGUGGAGAAAACAUCCGAAAUCUUCACUAGCCUCUGACACACAUACACUUGGUUCUCACUUCCGUUACACAUUCAGU